CCUCCCUCCCUCCCUCCAUCCUUCUCUCUCUCCUUCCCUCCCUCCCUCCUUCCUUCCAUACCACCUUGCGAAAGCGUGUUGAUACCACCACUGCCAGCUCCUCUACUUCCAGCUCACUGGGAGUUUUCUCAAUAGCAUGACGUAUUAAGAAACACAGUGCUGUCAUAUGAGGGUGGGUAACACCCCGAAUCCACAGAGGAAAGCCCCAAAGAAAGGGGCUUACCUCCCAUCCCAAAGCCUUACAGUGGAAAUGCACCAGUACGUUCCAUGUCAGAUCAUCUCUUCCCCAGGAACACCCAUCAAGCCCUACCUGUUCAGCUGUGUUCGUAACAUUUUUUGGGUACUCCUGACUGCAAGCUGUUUCUAAAAGUGAGACUUUGUGCCUUGGACCCUCAUGAAUGUAAAUAGCCAGCGUAAUUUCUCAAAAAACCCCAAAACCCAACCUUGAUCUCCAGAGCGCAUAGCCCUCUGCACUCUGAAGAUAACAUUUCAUUUAUAUUGUACCAGAAGAGAAGCAGCAACAAGGCACAGCACUUUUGGGCACAGAAUGGGAAUGAGGACAAAUGAAAAACAGAGUUUCAAUGUUGUAGGAAUUUCUGUUAUUUCAGUAUCUUGUUUUCUCCCAGUUUUGGAUGGAUUGCUGUAGACAAUUUUCCUCAAAUAAAAUAUUUAGGGUCAAAGCA
rnacentral:lncRNA from 1 species